AGCGAACGCUGGCGGCAUGCCUAACACAUGCAAGUCGAACGAACGCUUCGGAGUUAGUGGCGGACGGGUGAGGAACACGUGGGAACGUGCACUUGGGUUCGGAAUAACUCAGGGAAACUUGUGCUAAUACCGAAUGUGCGCUUCGGGGGAAAGAUUUAUCGCCAUUGGAGGGGCGCGCGUCAGAUUAGCUAGUGGGGAAGGUAAUGGCUCAUCAAGGGGACGAUCAGUAGCUGGUCUGUGAGGAUGACCAGCCACGCUGGGACGGAGACACGGCCCAGAAUCCUACGGGAGGGGGGAGUGGGGGAUGGUGCGAAGUGGGGGAAGGGCUGACGGAGCCAGGCCGGGUGAAUGAUGAAGGUCGGAGGAAUGUAAAGUUCUUUCAGCGGGGACGAUCGUGACGGUACCCGGAGAAGAAGCCACGGCUAACUUCGUG
rnacentral:rRNA from 1 species